AAUCAACGCUGGCGGCGCGCUUAACACAUGCAAGUCGAACGAGAAAGUCCGCAAGGAUGAGUAAAGUGGCGUACGGGUGAGUAACACGUGGAUGAUCCACCUCUUAGUGGGGAAUAACCUUGGGAAACUAGGGCUAAUACCGCAUAAGUCCGAGAGGAGAAAGGCCCUAUUUAAAAGAUGGGGACGCUGAGAGAGGAGUCCGCGGCCGAUUAGCUAGUUGGUAGGGUAAUGGCCUACCAAGGCGAUGAUCGGUAGCCGGCCUGAGAGGGCACACGGC
rnacentral:rRNA from 1 species